rnacentral:rRNA from 1 species
AACGAACGCUGGCGGCAUGCCUAACACAUGCAAGUCGAACGAGACCUUCGGGUCUAGUGGCGCACGGGUGCGUAACGCGUGGGAACCUGCCCUUAGGUUCGGAAUAACUCCCCGAAAGGGGUGCUAAUACCGGAUAAUGUCUUCGGCCCAAAGAUUUAUCGACUUUGGAUGGGCCCGCGUUGGAUUAGCUAGUUGGUAGGGUAAAAGCCUACCAAGGCGACGAUCCAUAGCUGGUCUGAGAGGAUGAUCAGCCACACUGGGACUGAGACACGGCCCAGACUCCUACGGGAGGCAGCAGUGGGGAAUAUUGGACAAUGGGCGAAAGCCUGAUCCAGCAAUGCCGCGUGAGUGAUGAAGGCCUUAGGGUUGUAAAGCUCUUUUACCCGGGAUGAUAAUGACAGUACCGGGAGAAUAAGCCCCGGCUAACUCCGUG